UGUCACAGCAAAAGUUACAACAGGAGGAAAACACAGAAAUGGUUCAACAUUUUUUUUUUAAACUUUGCACUGCCAAGAGCUGAAGGAGAGUGGUGAGCAAAGGAAUGAAGGGGAGAGAGAGAAACUGAACUGGAAGAUUGAGUUUUGUAUAGCUUCUUGAAACCUUAUGAAUGGAUUACUAGCAGCUGAGAGCCAGGAGAGACCUAUAGGGACUGCAAGAUCAUUCACACAUAAACAGGGGCAGAAAAGGAGGCGGAAUUCUUCCUUGCUGUAUUAUCCCUCCUUCCUGAAAUGAAUGGUAUGGAACCUUUUUCUGAGGGUCACGGGGGUGGCAUGAAGGAGGGGGAAGUUUUCUUCUUUUCUUACCUGAGUAUCUUUUCUUCAUUUACACUAAGGUUCCUCUCCUUCCUUCUUUUCUUUCCUGGUCUUUCUCUGCAUCUCCCUCUACUCCCUUCCAAAGCUCCAAACUCUUUUGAGCUACUUCAGGGGGAAAAAAAAAGAAAAAGAAAAGGGCUAAGUCAGAAGGAGUGAAGGGAGAUAGGAAAACAAGAAAAGGGAAAAGGACAGUCUGGGAUCAAGGGAUUUCUGUUUAGUAAUGUCCACGUGCCUGAAUUGAUCUCUUUGGGGACUUGCUUUGAGGCUCCAGUGGAUGCUGCACAGGGAGACUGGGCAUGCCAGGGGGCGGGCGAUUAGGGCACAGCAUGCUGAACGCAAACAAGUCAGUAUUUAGCCGGGCUAGAGGAGUUUAGGAAACGGAGGAGAAGUCUCGAGGCGAAAGAGGCACUGCGAUCUUACUCCAAAGUGUGUGGGCUGCAUGUUUUAUGUGUGGGCAACACAAGCAGGGAUUUUAGAACUGUAAGUAAUUUUUCUUAGUGAAGGAAGGACCCAAUAUAUUCCUCUACCUGUUUUGUACCCACCUGUGGUCAAACAUCCUCACCCGUGUCAAGAAUUCAGAAUCAUGUUCUCAGUGUGUGCAUACGUGUGUGUGUGUGUGUGCGUGUGUGUGUGUGUGUGUGUGUGUGUACAUGUCCAUGUGUUUAGGGGGUGGGACUCUGAGAUAGCCUGCCUCUAGGCAAGCAUUAUUACAGAGGCUGGAGU
rnacentral:lncRNA from 1 species